UAUAUAUUGAAAUUUAAAUGUUCUGAAUUAAAAAUUAAGUAACAAAUUAAAGUUUGACAAGCAGUGAGAGAUGAUUAGGUGCAUCAGUGCAUCUAGUAAAAGCAUUCUAGUUUUGUAAGGCAUUGAAGUUCCACAAAAACAACUAGCUUUGAUAUGUAUCAGUCCAACAAUGAUCAUUUCUAGCAGCUUUUCUCCACCUGUUUUUGAAUAUCUCUAGCUCAACAAAUGACCAUUUCUUGACCGUUUGUCUAUCAUGGGGUUGCUUCAACAAUGGUUGUUCCUUAUUUGCUGCAGAACCUCCAAGUGUAGGAAGACCAUAAUGAAUUAUGUACUCAGAAUCAACAAUCCCUAUAUUUUUUGAUCGAUCACCCUGUGCACAGUACCCCAGUUGAAAAUCCACGCCCCAUCCUUGAACCAAGUCAUUCUGAAUCAUAUACCAAGAACAACGCCAGGAUGCUUUUGAGAAAACAGGAGCCAUCAUUUCUACAAACCUGUAUACCCAAUUUCCUUUGAAAUGCACAUCUGAUAUCUGUAAAAUUGUAUUUUCACUUGGAAUUAACUAACAAUUCAUGUAUUGAAGCCAGUUUUCUACCCUGAGCAUGGAGGACCUGUGACAUUUUUAUCGCACCUUGACCCACCAAUCUUUCUAUCUAUCCUCCUGUGCACUCUUGAUCCCUGGCGUCUCAUUGUCAGCUGAUGAUGCACCUCAGAUUUAUUGGGAUCGAGUGCUGGUUGUGAAAUCUCAAGUCCUUCUUCUUUGAUAAUUGAAAGGUACCUUCCAGGAUCGAAGUAGUCAACUCCAAUAUCUUCAUCCCACAGGAAGAUAUAAGCGUACUCAGGAACAAUAUCUGGGUGUAAAAAACGCUUGGCAAACCACCAUUUGGUUUGACUGGUAGCUGCUAUGUGUAUGACAUGACCACUCCAUUCAAAAUCUCUCCAUUCAUCCACAAUUCCAUCAUAAUGAAAAAGCAUUACAGCAAAAUCACUUGAAAGAAACUUCUUGACAAUUUUGUUAACGUUAUCUUUUUGCUUUAUUCCCACAGCCAUGGCCAGUAAGUUACUAGGUCUCUUAGAGUUCUUUUGCUGAUGACCCCAUAACGGUUUCAUUUCCAAGUCAGAUGUUGCUGAAAUGAUGCCUCCAGGGAGUGUCUCACUGCCAUGAGGCUUGUUUUGGGUCUCGCAAAUUUUCGAUUUUUCAUCCUUCACAGCAUGAAUUGAUGCCAAUUCUAAGAACUUCUCUUUGUAAUCUGUGAUCACAAAUGCACUGCCAAUGAAUAAUGCUGCAGAAAGCAAAAAUAUUGUAGGGAGGAAACAAUAAAGAUAUCUCUGCUUUUCAGAUAUCUGAGAACAAGAGGAAACAAAGAAAAAGACAAGUAAAUACGUGCAGCUCUAUCAAGUUGAUGUUGCGUGAUAAUUACAGAGGAGAGGCUGAGAAAGGCUCAUAAUUCAUAACAAUUCUUGUGAAAAGAACCCCAUGAAAUUAAAAAAGAAAGAGAUCAGAGUCAGAGAGAGACUUACAGGAAUUGGCAUGUUUAUGUUCAUAUUUGCACAACAAUGGCUGCAAUUUGAUCGUAAAACGUGGCUAUAGUAUUGUUAUUAUUGUUAGAGAUGACAAAUUAGCGUAAAAAGCAGUGCAAUUCCACUUGUUUUCAAAGUAACUUAGCGUUGUACAACUUCUACUAGGAAACGGAAAACUUGCUACAUGCGCAAUUCAUUUUUAGUUGUAAGCUAACUCCGCAAUUCCUAAUAAAUUAUUGAUAAUUGGGGUUGGCAGAAUUCCAAUCAAACCGAUAAAUUUGACUAAAUUGGUUUCAUCUAGAAAUUCAAUUCAUCAGCUUAAUUAAUUAAUUAUUAUGAAGUCUAAUAAGCACUAAGUGCUUAUAAAUACUAAGUUGAUUUUGAUAAGCAAGUCAAACUCUUUCUUAGUUUUAUUUUAAAUUUUUUUUUAUGUAAUUUAAUGUAAUCAAGUCCUUUGCCUGAUUACCAGCUG
rnacentral:misc_RNA from 1 species